UACGUAGGGGCCUAGCGUUGUCCGGAAUUAUUGGGCGUAAAGAGCUCGUAGGCGGUUUGUCGCGUCUGCUGUGAAAACCUAAGGCUCAACCUUGGGCUUGCAGUGGGUACGGGCAGACUAGAGUGCGGUAGGGGUGACUGGAAUUCCUGGUGUAGCGGUGGAAUGCGCAGAUAUCAGGAGGAACACCGAUGGCGAAGGCAGGUCACUGGGCCGCAACUGACGCUGAGGAGCGAAAGCAUGGGGAGCGAACAGG
rnacentral:rRNA from 1 species